rnacentral:rRNA from 1 species
GACGUAGGGCGCGAGCGUUGUCCGGAUUUAUUGGGCGUAAAGAGCUCGUAGGCGGUCUGUCGCGUCUGCUGUGAAAACUCGGGGCUUAACCCCGGGCCUGCAGUGGGUACGGGCAGACUAGAGUGCGGUAGGGGAGACUGGAAUUCCUGGUGUAGCGGUGAAAUGCGCAGAUAUCAGGAGGAACACCGGUGGCGAAGGCGGGUCUCUGGGCCGUAACUGA